rnacentral:rRNA from 1 species
UACGUAGGGCGCAAGCGUUGUCCGGAAUUAUUGGGCGUAAGAGCUCGUAGGCGGUUUGUCGCGUCUGCUGUGAAAACCUAAGGCUCAACCUUGGGCUUGCAGUGGGUACGGGCAGACUAGAGUGCGGUAGGGGUGACUGGAAUUCCUGGUGUAGCGGUGAAAUGCGCAGAUAUCAGGAGGAACACCGGUGGCGGAAGGCGGGGUCUCUGGGCCGUA